UUUUGAAAAUCUUCAAAUUUGUUUUCAAUAUUUCUGAAUUUUGGUUUAACUAUCUUUAUUAAUUUACUAUAUUUUUUUAGUAUUGAUGCACAGUUUGGUAAUAGUCAUUUUUAGUGGUGUCGAAAAUGGUGGUUUUAGGAACCACAAAUUUAAUGAUUGACCUUGUAAAUAUUAUUAAUUUAAUAUUUAUAAGUCAAUUAUAAUAUUAUUGAAAUUUUUAUUUAAUAAAUUUCAUUAAUUGAUCGUAUAGUUAAGUUAAGUGGUUCAUUCCUUAAUUCAAUUGGUUUUGAAAAAUGAAGUAUUGAGACCUCAUUUAUAAAAAUCAAACCCGUAAAUAUUUUUAUUAAAUAUUUAUUGAGUUAUUAUAUAGGUAUAUGAAUAUUUGGUUAGGAAAUUUUAAUUUUAAUUAGUUAAUUAAUUGAAAAGGACUAAAUCAUAAAAGUAGAAAAAUCUAAUCACUAUUGAAUUUUAAUGGUUAAAUAACUUAACUAGAGGAUGUGUGAGGACUUAUGAAAUAAUUAUACCAUGUUUUCAUAUUAUUGGAUGGUUAAGACAUUUAUAGAUUAUAUAUGUUAUAUUAUAUAAAGUAAAUAAAAUAAGUAAAGUUAAAAAUAAGAAAACUUAAAGAAUUAGUGUCAUCUUCUUCUUCUUUUAAUUUUAACAUCGAACCAUCAUGGGAGAAAUUGGGAAGCUUCAGCUUUGAUAUUUCCAUUGCAUAUUGUUGGAUUUGAGCUGUCAAUUAGAUUACUUUUGGAGAUCACACUAUUUGUUCAAUGAUUUGGUGUAAGAUGUGAUUAUUUUUUAUUUAGUUUAUAAGUGGCAUGUUCUAAGAGCAUAUAAGUUCUUUUGCUAUAAUGAUGUAACCUUAGUUUAAGCAUAUAUGUGUAUAGAUUUAGCUUGUAUAUGUCCAUAUAUGUAUGUCUUUAGUUGUUUGGUAUAUGCUUCUUGGAUGUGUCUGAAAUAUGGUAAGAUUGAAUGUGAAUGGAAUGGUUGAAUUGGUAAAAA